rnacentral:rRNA from 1 species
UACGUAGGGUGCAAGCGUUGCCCGGAUUUAUUGGGCGUAAAGGGCGUGUAGGCGGUUGUUUAAGUCUGUCGUGAAAUCCCCGGGCUCAACCUGGGAAUGGCGAUGGAUACUGGGCAGCUAGAGUGUGUCAGAGGAUGGUGGAAUUCCCGGUGUAGCGGUGAAAUGCGUAGAGAUCGGGAGGAACAUCAGUGGCGAAGGCGGCCAUCUGGGACAACACUGACGCUGAAGCACGAAAGCGUGGGGAGCAAACAGG